rnacentral:rRNA from 1 species
GGUGAUUCUUCGCACACCAGCGGAAGCCUUUGCAGCCGGAAACGGUAGCUGCGCGACUCUAAACAAGACAGCUUUUUGCAAGUCAGCCUACCACAGCUGGCGACACUUUCGAAUUGACGGGGACACCCUAACGCCCUUCACACCAACCCAGUUGGGGAAACCUACUGGCGGCCCGUGGGAAAACCACGGGGUACGGUAACAGAGGAAGGAAUGAUCCAGCGCCUUUGGGCACUGGUGAAAUGGGCUACCCGCAGCGAAGCUCCUGCCGCCUACAUGCGCCGCACAGCGUACCAGGCGAGGAGAACGUUCACAGACUAGGCGGAAGUGGGUGGGGCUCAGCGCCCUGCUUAAGAUAUAGUCGGGCCUCGAGGGAAACUUCGGGGACGUACAGCAACCGUUCCGUAGGUGAACCUGCGGAAGGAUCAUUACCUGGCCUUGGGCCGCUCGCGGUAGCUAGUCGCUCGCGACGACGCUGCCGAGGGUGCUUAGCCCUUGACUAUUACCUUGACUACGUGCACCUUUGUUGUUUCCUCGGCAGGUCAUCUGCCGCCAGGAACCCCCUAAACCUUUGCAAACAGCAUUCAAACUUCUGAAAACAAACCAAAUUAUUUACAACUUUUAACAAUGGAUCUCUUGGUUCUGGCAUCGAUGAAGAACGCAGCGAAAUGCGAUAAGUAGUGUGAAUUGCAGAAUUCAGUGAAUCAUCGAAUCUUUGAACGCACAUUGCGCCCCAUGGUAUUCCGUGGGGCAUGCCUGUUCGAGCGUCAUUUACCCCCUCAAGCUCCGCUUGGUGUUGGGCGUUUGUCCCGCUUCGCGCGCGGACUCGCCUCAAAGGUAUUGGCAGCGGUCGUGCCAGCUUCUCGCGCAGCACAUUGCGCUUCUCGAGGCACCGGCGGGCCCGCGUCCAUCAAGCUCCACCCCCAGUUGACCUCGGAUCAGGUAGGGAUACCC